rnacentral:rRNA from 1 species
GUAAGGUACGCCCUGCCCGGUGAGCCAACGAGCUUAAACGGCCGCGGUAUCCUGACCGUGCAAAGGUAGCAUAAUCCGUUGCCUUUUAAUUGGGGGCUAGAAUGAAUGGGUAAACGAGGGAACAGUUGUCUCUUUUUUUAAAAAUGAAAUUGACCUCCAGGUGAAGAUGCCUGGAUUAAAUAAAAAGACAAAAAGACCCUGUCGAGUUUAACUAAAAUCUUGCGCUCUAAUACGAUUAAUCUGUAGAAGACCUACAAGAUAUAGUUUGGUUGGGGAAACCUAGGAGCCGUCCAACCUCCUUAAGCAAUACCGGCCCAUAAGCCUUUUUACACGAUCCAUACCUAAUGAAGCUAGAAACAUAUUACCGCAGGGAUAACAGGCUAAUUUCUUCAGAGAGCCCAAAUUGACGAAGAAGUUUGGCACCUCGAUGUUGGCUUAGGGUAUCCCUCAGGCGUAGCAACUUGAAAAGGUCGGUUUGUUCAACCGUUAAA